UGCUACGAUAGUAAUUCAACAUAGUAUGAGAGGAACCAUUGAUUCACACAAUUGAUCAUCGCGAUUGGUUGAAAAGUCAGUGACGCGAAGCUACCGUGUGUUAAAUUAUGACUGAAUGCCUCUAAGUAAGAAUCCAAGCUUGUAAUGCGGCA
rnacentral:ncRNA from 1 species